rnacentral:lncRNA from 1 species
AUACUUAUACAAUAGCAUACAACAUUGCAAAAUUAGGCACUUAAACCUUCCUAACAUGACAUGACCAUGGUAAUUUCACAUGCAACCAUUACAAUAAGUUUUUCUUUCAUCUUUACCAUAUUAAUGCUAUAGCUAUCAACAUGUCAUCAAACCUCAUGUCCAUCACAAAGCAUACAUAAUCAUAUCCACAAACCAUUCAUGAAGCAUUAUUAACUAUUUACCAAUCACUUAAUCCUGCAUUAGUUAUUAGCUCAUCAAUGAAUCUCAAUUCAAUCUCUAGGCAUACAUGUUGUAAGCCACAUCACAAGAGAUAAUAACAUACAUGCAUAAGAAUAAUCAUAUGGGCCCAUAACGAUAUUAGCCGACAUAGGCCAAUUUACAUGACUAAUACUACCUUAAUAACAAGCCAAUGCCUUUGGCUAAAUCAUAAUAUUACAUACUCACAUUAAAACCCUAUACAUGCCAUAGACUAGAAUCACUUAAGUUCACUUACGCCGAUAGCGUUAACUCAACAGUGUGAUAAUAUCUCUGACGGCCUCCAACCCGAGCUAACCUGGAAACUCUAGAAAACAUGGGAAAGAAGGGGGGUAAGCUUUCGCUUAGUAAGUUCAUAUGAAAACAAUAAGCAACUCAUUAACUUGUUUUUAUCAAUGUUUACAACAUAUUCUCAAGUUCACUGCAAGCUGUCUUCCUGAGCAACAGUCACUAAAUUAUUUAUAUCUGGAGCUACGAAACUCCAAAUUAAGUUCCGUUAAUUUUUCCUGAAAAUAUACUCAUUUAUCUUUCUUUCAUAAAAUUUCCAGAAUUUUUUACUUAGCCAAUUAGUACAGUUUAUUCCUCAAGUUUGCUCCUGAUUCACUGUCUGACAGUUUCAACCCUUCUGCACUAAAGUUCAAUUAUCUCAUAGUACAGGAUUUGAAUAAUGUUAUAGUCUAUUUCUCUUGAAACUAGACUCAUAUGUAUACUUACUAAUUCUUUUCUAGAAUUUUUGGUCAAGAAAUUUAGUACAGUUUAUUAGUUAAAGUUUCCCCUGUUUCAGGGUAUGACUACUCUGUCCCUUGUGCACUACAAACCAAAUUUAUCCCUGUACAGAAUUCCAAUGACCAUGCCAUUUGUUUUCCUUAAAAAUAGACUCAAUAAGGAAUCCAUUCAUGUAAGUUAUGACUCUUAAUAAUUUUUGUACAAUUUAUGGUGAAUUUCUAAAGUCAGAAUAGGGGAUCUCGAAUUCAUUCAGACCCUGUUUUACAAGAAUUCAAAUAUCACACAAUAUAGAUUUCUUUUUCUUCCCUUGUUUCUUUCAUGUGAAAAUAGACUCAUUAAGAUUUAUUCCCAUAUUUUAUUCAGCCUCUAACUCAUUUUCUACUAUUUUUAGUGUAUUUUCAAAAUUACACUACUGCAGUAACUCAAAUCUGUCAAGGCUAAGCUACUCAUUCAUGAUCAUUGUUCACAAAAUUAAUACAACAUCAUUUCAUCCAUCAUGGUAAGAACACAUAUUAUGCAUCAUAGAUCAUCACAUAUCAAGGCAUUCUCAUAGGCUUAGUAUACAUACUUGCACAACUCGUAACAUAACUCAAGUGCAUACUCACCAAUGACUUACCUCAUUGGGACCAUCAUCAACUCUUUCCUUGGUUUGCCCGUUGAACACAUGGAAUACUAAUUGGAUACUCGGAAAAGCCUUUGCACAUAAGUGCCUCAAUUGUAGCUAAAGCUACCUCAUAUCUCAUGACAUUUCAAUGCUCACUCUCGAGCUAGUCAUCUAGACUCAUAAUUCCACUACAGGAAAAUAGGGCUUUAGCGGCAUUUUUAGCGGCGUUUUAUCAAAAAACGCCGCAAAAAUUGUAAAACACAGAGCAAUAGCGGCGUUUUACCAAAAACGCCGCUAAAAACAGAGCAAUAACGGCGUUUUCCUAAAAAACGCCGCUAAAAACAGAGCAUUAGCGGCGCUCUUGGUAAAACGCCGCUAAAGACCAGAGCAUUAGCGGCGCUUUUGGUAAAACGUCGCUAAAGCCAGAGCAUUAGCGGCGCUUCUGGUAAAACGCCGCUAAAGAUCAGAGCAUUAGCGGCGCUUUUGGUAAAACGCCGCUAAAGACCAGAGCAUUAGCGGCGCUUUUGGUAAAACGCCGCUAAAAGUCAUAUAACCCUUAAACUCUAAAAAAUCAUAAACACUAAUCUAUAACCCCUAAAAUAAUAAUUAUUAAAAUUUAUGGUUAUACAAUAUAUUAAAUAUUUUCUUAUAUAAUCGUAAAAGAGAUAGUAUUGAAUUUAAAAUAUUGAAUUAAUUAUCAUUAUAGUUUAAUGUUUAUGGUUUAAGAUAUAUGGUUUAGGGUUUAAGGUUUAAGAGUUAAGAGUUAACUAGUAUUUGAAGGUUUAUGAUGAAUUAUAGGUUUAGGGAUUAUGAUUUAAGAUUUAGGGGUUAGGGUUAGAGUUUAAGGUGUAAGGGUUUGGGGUUAGGGGUUAGGGGUUAAGUGUUUAAUAUUUAUGGGAUAGGGGUUAUGAGGUUUAGGGUUUAGAUUAAUUAGUAUUUUUUAAUUUAUAUAUUAAAUGAUUUCUUAUAUAAUUGUAAAAAAGAUAAUAUUAAUUUGAAUAUAUUAAAUUUAUGAUUAUAGUUUAAAUUAUUUAAGAGAUAAUAGAUAAGCUUUAUAUAUAUAUAUUAAAUGGUUUAAGAUUUAAUCUAAAAAUAUUUUUUAUAUAUUAUAAGGUGUUAUAUUGUUUAAUGGAUUGAAGGGAUAUUUUGUGGAAAACGUUUUAAAUGAUAAGUUUACCUUUAAAUUUUAUUAAUAGCUUUUUGUUUAUACUAUUUUAAUAUUUAUCUAUACUUAUUAAUUAAAAUAUAUAUUUGUUUAUGCGAACGAAAAUUCUCUGCACUCAUUUGUGUCUCCACGUUUUCUUUUUGUAACUCAUUUUCUUUUUAUAAAACAGUGAAUUUUCCUUUAUUUGUAAAUCAAUCUUCUUAUUAAAAAGUUGCAACUCUUUUUUUUUUGUUUCUAAAUAAGUGUUGUUUUUGUUCCGACUUGUUUUAUAGAGUGUUUUUUUAUUCUUUUAAGGUUGAUGGUUUAUAUUUUAUGAUUUAGGGUUUGGAGACUAUAAUUAAGGGUUUAAGGUUUAGAUUAAUUAGUAUUUUUUAAUUUAUAUAUUAAAUAAUCUCUUAUAUAAUUAUAAAAGAAAUAAUAUUAAUUUUAAUAUUUUAAAAUUAUAACAAAUUAUUUAUUGAAAAAUAAAUAAAAAAAGUAACAGAUUGAUAUGAAUGGGUAAUUAUCUAUUUUGGAUAAUACCAAAUUAUAACAAAUUAAAUAAGGUCUUAUUUUUAUGCUUUAAUGAUUUAGCGGCGCUAGCAUAUAAACGCCGCAAUAGACCACCUUUAGCGGCGUUUUUUAAAAAAUGCCGCAAAAAAAUUUAAUUAAAUUUAAACGUUCACGUUUCAAGGAGUGAAAUUAGCGGCGUUUUGAUAUAAACGCCACAACUGUCUUUUUUUUUUUUACCAAAACUUCCCCCUCUUCUCCUUUAAUCCCUAAAUUUUCAUCCCCAAGUUCAUAGCCCAUUUGCCAUCGAAGACGCCGACCGGACCACCUAGUGCAUCGCGCUCGACUAACCCCUCUGCUGCGUAGCCGUUGCCGUCGGUCUCUACUGCCACAUCCAAUCGGUAAAAGGGCUCGAUAGUUUGGUUUCUAUUGUUGCUUCUAGGUCUGGAAAAGGGCUCCCAAUUAUCGUUAUUACACCCUAAUUAUUUUUGUUCAUUUAGUUGAAGAGUCUUUUAUUGUUCGUCUAUCAUCAUCUUCCUCCUACCAUCAUCCCCCUUCUCUCCCUCUCGCGUCUCUACAAAUCAGUUUCUUUUUCUUCUCUUUUCAUCUCAGUUCUCACCUGCCGAGUGAGCCCAGGUAAGGAAGAUUGUGAAUUAGAGGACGCGCUAUCCGCGGCGAGUGUUAUGCACGGGAAAAUACUCAACGGCAGAACCCUCAGCGCUUCCAUCGCCGUCGAUAAUGGACGAGGCCCAGAGUUUAUCAAGAAAAAGGUUUAUAAGGAUAAGUCUAGAUGUUAUGAAUGUGGGGUUAGUGGGCAUUUAUCUUAUGAGUGUCCAAAGAAUCUGUUGGGGCCAAGGGAGAGACCGGUGCCAAAGAAAGGGCGGAGAGGUGGCGGCUGUAGAGAGAAGAGGGAGGAUGAUGGGGAUUGGGGAGAGGAAGAAUCAGAGGGUGGAGAGGGGUUUGAAGAGGAGAAUUGGGCGUCAGUAGUGGAUGGGGCGGCGGAGGAGAGGUUGAGGAAAUCGAAGAUGUCGAAGGAAAAGAAGAAGAAGAUGACAAGAAAAGCGAGUUAUUUUAGUGACGAGAGUGAUGAGGAAGAAUGAUUCAAUGGUGGAAAUGGAGAAAGGGGGUUGCUUUUUCACACCCAAAUUUAACCUGGAAUCAUUUGAAAUUUGAGGUACAUUAUACUUUUGUUAUGACUUUAAGCUUCAAUAGAUUGUAACAGUUCUUGCACUUUUGUAUUAUUUGUAUCUUUAUUGUGGGAUAUUUGCUUAAUUUUUUUCAGAUGAGUGAUUAGGAAGGGUGAUUUGGGGAGGGAGAUGUUGCUUUGUUGGGGUAAAAUCUGAUGUUAGAUUAUCUGAUUAUAUUAAGAUUCGAGCUCGAAUUUGAUUGUGAUAAUGAUGGUGGCGAAUGAAAGUAUAGUUGUGAUUAGCUGUAUUGUUUAGAAGUAUGAUUGUGAUUAGGGCUUGAAUUUGAUUGUGAUAAUGGUGGCAAUGUGUUCAUUGUUUAAAAGUAUGAUUGUGAUUAGUUAUAUUGUUUAAAAAUGUGAUUUAGACUCAAAUUUGAUUGUGACAAUGGUAGUAAAUUGUUCAGUGUUUAAAAGUGUGAUUGUGAUUAGUUAUAUUGUUUAAAAGUACAAUUUGGGAUUGAAUUCGAUCAUGAUAAUGGUAGCGAAUUGUGCAUUAUUUAAAGGUAUGGAUGCGAAUAGUGAUUGGUACGAUUUGGGAUUGAAUUCGAUCACGAUAAUGGUAGCAAAUUAUGCAUUGUUUGAAGGCAUGGUUGUGAUUAGUUAUAUUGUUUAAAAGUAAGAUUUGGGAUUGAAUGUAGCUGUCUUAAAAUUUGAACAAUUAUUGGAGCUAAUGUUUGACCCUUAAUUUCUUCAUUGUCUUUCUUUGAAUUUGUUUAAUUUUUAUGCAAAUAAUCUAUUAAAAAUGUAUAACUUAUUAAAUUCAAAUAUUUUAUUAUGCAAAUUUUAUUAUCGUUGCUUAUGUCUGGGUACAUUUUCAUGUUGACUAAAUAUUUGAGAUAUGGCUUAACUUUAGACUUUUUUUUUGUAUUCAUUUAAUCUGCAAGUUCACUUAGAGAAACAUUAGCUUUAAAUUUGCAUCGCAACAUUCAUGUUUAUGGUGUUGAAAUAGACAAUGUAUCACAGCUUAUGGUCUGGUUGCCUGCUGAUUUGGACAAGUAUUUGGAUGUUCUUAGGUUUCUGCUUGUUGCUAUUACUUGCUAUUGCUUUGAUCUUUUAUUUUCGGAUCAACCUCGCAUAGUAGUAUCUGUGUCAUGUUUAAGUUCACGUAAAAGACUAGAAGCCAUUAGGCUGCAACUUAGUUAAUGAUACACUUGCAGUUACAUUAUUGUGUUGAGACUUUAAGUCGAUGUGUUUUAUCUAUUUUAAUCUGCAAAUUUGUUGGGAGAAACAUUAGUUUUAAAUAUCCAGUUGCCUGCAGAUUAGCGCAAGGUCCAAGUAGUUCCAGUUAGAAAUUUGUUUUAAAUAUCUAAUAAACAAGUCGUUUUCUGGAUUACAUUCUGUUUAAGUUUAUUUUUGUUGCUUGGUGUGAUUCCUGGAGUUCUUUCCUUUUCAAACAUAUUGGAAGUUUUCACUCAAUGAUUUUCUUCCUUAUUUAUUAUUUGAAGUUGUUAUUUAUUUUAUGCUAGUCUUGAUUAUAAUUAUUUCAGCUUAUGUUAUAAUUACUUGUAAUCUGGAGUAGGUUGUCUAUUUUUGUUUUCUUUUAGUAGUUUCUAUAUUUUCUGUAUGAUCUGCUUAUAUUUUUUGGAAAGCUUCUUCAAAUUAGUUUGCUCAGGUAUACCUGUCUAAAUAUUUUUUUCAUUUUGUUCAUCAAUUUUCCCUGCAGACUGUGACUGAAAGUGGCAUUGCUGAUCAGAUGCGGCUGACAGAACUAAUAUUGAAUGAUGUAUGCUUCUUUGAAAACCUUGCUUAUGCGUGUUAAUAUCUUCUUUAAUAUCUUCUGUAUGUAGAUCUUGUGCAGUUUAGUAUUCGGUGGUUAAUUGCCAGUCACUUAACCAUUGAUAAUGUUGGUAUUCAGCCACAUUAAGUUAUCAGUUGUGGCUGUGCUAUCAAGGUAAUAAUUUGGUUUCCUCUGGCUUCUCAACUCUCUGAGCUUUUGUGUUCUUAGUGAUCUUCCAUGUCAUAUGGGAGAAAUAUCAAACAUGUUGCAUAUUUCUUCUACAUGUAACUAUGAGCUUUAUUUCUUGGUUAUUUUUAAUUUUUUCCCUAUGCUUUCUAUUAUUUGGUUUCCUGGUUUUCUUUGUUUCUGUUUCAAACUUAUGGUUUAGUAUCUGUCUGGACUUUCUAUUAUGUUAAUUCUAAAUGUUCAGACGUGCUAAAUUGAGUUUGAUCUCAAUGCAGCAAGAUUUCUUCCAGAAGCUGAUGGAGCUAUUCAGAAUUUGUGAAGACUUGGAAAAUAUGGAUGGUCUUCACAUGAUAUUUAAAAUAGUCAAGGGGAUAAGUUAGUACACUUUUUCACUUAAAUGCUUAGUACACUUUUUCGCUUAAAUGCUCUUUUUCUUUAUUAAAACCUGCUUUAUUAUACAGGUAAAAUGCUGCAGACAUGUUACUUACCUAAAUGGUUGGGUCUUUGUGAUGUUAACUUCAAUAUGUGAUCGUGGACUGAAGUCUAGAAUGGAAAGGAACUUAGAAAAUUACAUUUGAGCCACUACAUCGUUUCUUUCGAUUGCCCUUACACCUACUGCAGAGUAGUAAAGCAAACUACAACAGAAAAGAUGGAUUCCACUUAAUUUGAGAUUUGACCAUUAAGUUUCAGACGAGUUUUUUAAGUCUGUCUAUCUCCCUAAACUCUUGAGCUUAAUCCGAGUUGCCCUUUAGAUAACCAAAUGAGCCACAAGAUUUGAUACAAGUGACAAGAGUUGUUUAAAGGAGGAGGAGAACUGAAUGUUAAUUUGCAUCUUGUAAACAUUUGAGCUACUUGCCUGUGUCUCUUUAUGUAAUAUUUAUGCAAUUUAAAUUGUUACUUCAUCAUUCAAAGUCACUACCUUCUGUAUAUAUAAAAUUCCGUUCUGAUGAAAAGAUAACAUAUGAGAUCUACAAUGAGACUAGUAUACAAAGAUAGUAAUAUGAAAGUUCUCUAUUACUCUGAAUAAGCUUGUUUUCUUUAUUUUUGGUAUUAUGAUUGAUUUUUAUUUUCACAUCAGAGUGGGGAUACUGGCACUAAGAGGGCAAAGGUUGAUCAAGAAUCAGAAUGCAAGGUAAAUGAGGCAUCAAAUUUUGUUGAGAGGAGUACCACUGAUAGAGAGAAACAUAUGGCUUCUUCAUCUCUGAAAACUGUAGCAAGUACGUCCUUCUAUGCAUAUGACUUGAAUUGAGCCUUAACAAGAGCAAUGGAUUGAAAUUGUAGCAAAGUGCUAUAAAGUUCAGCUUUAUCUGGAAUUUUAUCUAUUGAAAUUGUAGGAUUUUUCUGUACAAAUAAUGAUAUUUGCCUAUUCUUCUUGAAGACCUUUCUCAUGCAUCAGGUAAAGGGAAAACCCUUUUUUUUUUAAUUUUUGAUGAGUUUUUUAAGCCCUGAAAUGGAACAUCAAUAACUUGUUUUAGAAUUGUUGAAUGUUGUCCAUAUAUGAUUUGAAUGCUGGAAAUUUACAGCAUUUAGUUUCAUGCUUGAAGUUGAUUAAACCAUGUUGUAAAUGCAAACAUUUAUAUGCUGUUCACAUGCUAAAUUAACCAUUAGUGAGCUUAAAAUUGAUCUAUUCGAAUGUGUUAAAUUCAUUGUUCAAUGUGAUGUUAUUUCUGCUAAUGUAUUGAGUAUAUUAAGUUGUGCAAUUUGAUGUUAUAUGUGGCGUUAAUAUUGACUUGUUAAUUGCAUAUUUUAUUAUUAAUUUGAUGUUAUAUGUGUCAUUCAUUAACUUUUUUUUUCUUUUUUCUCAGGUUUGAGUUUUUGUUGGAUGCAUGGUCUAGGAUUAGCUGAAUUCAUGCAUAGUGACGACUUGUUUAAGCUAACUGCUUAUCUUAAAGUGUGCAUUCUAUCAUUAUUUUGUUCUAUUUGUAUUUUGUUAGAUUUCUGGUGUAGUAUGAUAAGUGCGGUAUUUUGUUUGGCGGGAUGUAUUUAUAUCAUAGAUUAUUCUUCUUCUCAAUUUUUGAUAAUGAAUUUUAUUUUUUUUAUAUUUUCAGGACUUUUUUAUAAUAUUUUAUUUUUUUUAAUUUUUAUGACCUUUAGCGGCGUUUGUGGGAAAAGCGUCGCUAAAGGUCCUGACAUUUAGCGGCGUUUUUUUCAAAUAAACGCCACAAAAUUUAGCAGCGCCAUCUAUAGCGACGCAAGCGCCGCGAAUAGUUUUAGUGGCGUUUAAAAGCGCCGCUAAAGGCCUAAAAAAACGCCGCUAAAAAUCAGUUUUGCUGUAGUGUUCCUAAUGACAUGUCACUCGUAUCCUAUUCUAUUCCUAAGGUUCAAAUGGGAUUUUUCCUCGUCUAUUAAGGCUUUGUCUUAUCAUAUUUCUAUUAAUCACAUACACUUAAUAUAUGUGCAAUUUAUGUAAUGAUAACAUUUAAAUACAUGUAUAGCAUGGUAUUGUUUACAUACGAACUUACCUCGAUACCACAAAGGUGAAAAGGACAUAAUCAUCCCUUAAUCGAUUUCUUUCUGUUCUAGGUCCAAAUCUCGAUUUCCUUGAUCUAUAAUAUCACAUUUAGCCUACCAAUCAGUCACAAUAUUCAUAUGGGUCUAAAAAUCAUAUUUUUACAAAUUUUUAUUUUGACCCCUAAACUUUUGUAUAUUUGCACUUUUGCCCCAAUGCUCGUAAAAUAUUUUUUAUCACAUUUCUUUACUCCUUGAGUCUAGAUAAACCAUUUUCAUAACUAUAACAACUCAUAAUUUCAACUAUUUUACACAUUACAACUCAUUUUACAACUUAGCAAUCUAGCCCUUUUUUAAGGUGUUUUCAUGCAAUUUCUUUCACAAAAGUUGUUUAUUAGACAACUAGGACUCAUAAUCUUUCAUAAAAACACAGCAAACAACACAUUUACUCUCAUGGAAAAAUCCUAGACUCUUCAUCAUUUUGCAAAAUAGUCCCCUCUUAUGAAAGCUCAUGCUUUAGGGGUUCCAAAAAUGUAAAAAUUAUCAAGCAAAGACAUUAAAAUCACUUACAAGCAAGGGAAAUAUGUUGCUGAAAUUUUCCAGCUUCAAAGCCCUUUAUUUGCUGCAUAUUUCGGUGAAGGAGAAGAGAAAAAUGAUAGCUUUUUCUUUUUGAUUUGUUAAUAAUAAAAC